CACUUCCCUUGGCUUCUGUUCUCACGCCCAGACAAGCUCUGCAGGAGUGGAGCUCCCGGAGCCCAGGACCGGGACCUGAACGGAAGGCAACCAACCCACAGGCUGGGAGGCCGGUUCCAUAACAAAUGUUCCAGACUUACGUUCCACAUAAGCAUUGUCACCUGGGGAAGUAGGUCAGUGAAGGGACGGCUCAGGAUUAGAGACUAUGGUAGGAGAUAAGAAGAUCUUUGAGACCUGGACAACCUCCUGCAAGAGGCCUCUCCUCAGGGCAGCUCCAGCGCGGACCUGGGAACUGAGCACCUAAGCUGGCCGAGAUGGAGUUAGAGGGCGCGCGCUGCAAGAGGGACCUGAGAGACUUCAAGACAAGACAUGUGGGAAGCUGGCCAAGGCAUGGGGCCCCGUGAGAAACCCCAGAUGAAGUCGAUCUUCUCUGGGCCCAAUGCAAGGAUGGCAGGUGAAAUUGAACUCGAGCACACGCAAGGUAAGGCAUAUGGAGCGAAAGCUCAUCUCAGCAUCUUUUAUGAGACAUGACGGGACUCAGGGUAGAGCCCUGAGAGGCUGGGGCCAGCCACAGGGAGUGGGACUCACUCAGUUCAGGGCAGAGGCCUACCUUAGCCAGUUGGAGAGGGGCCCUGGGCUCUGGACUCCUGAACAGUUGCUGUGCCCCAUAGGGGUCUGGUGUCAUCUCGGAUCCCACCUGGCAUUGCUUGGUAGGAUCGUCACAUGUCCUUUACCUUACGUGAGGAAAAGGAGGCCCUCACAGGUGGAGAGAACUGCCCAUAGGCAGCUGGUUAGACAGAGGCUGAGUCAGGACCAGAAGCUGGGCCCUUGGCUUCCAGUCAGAGCACCUCCACUCCACCUUGUGCAGGUACCCCCUACCUGCGACAGGUAAACAGCAGCCUCACAGCCCUCAGCUGGAGGUGGGGGCUAGUGGGAAGCCCAGGGAGCCCCAGUUCUCAUGCACUCUUUGACUCCACUCAUGUCUUCCAACAAAUGCUCUUUGAGUACUUAUUAUAUAUCAUGCGUUGUCACACGUGGGGAUUAAAGUUAUGAGGCUGGGAGUCAGACUUUGGUCAUUUACCCUUUGAGCUUUGAUUUCCUCACCUGGAAAAUGGGCAACAUUAAUUCUUGUGC